GACAGAGGGUGCAAACGUUGUUCGGAAUUACUGGGCGUAAAGCGUGUGUAGGCGGCUUUGCAAGUCGGAUGUGAAAGCCCCGGGCUCAACCCGGGAAGUGCACUCGAUACUGCAGGGCUAGAGUGUGGGAGAGGUUGGUGGAAUUCUCGGUGUAGAGGUGAAAUUCGUAGAUAUCGAGAGGAACACCGGUGGCGAAAGGCGGCCAACUGGACGAAUACUGACGCUGAGACUCGAAAGCGUGGGGAGCAAACAGG
rnacentral:rRNA from 1 species